GGAAUAUAAGAACCCGUCUCUUAAUUUUUAACUAAAAAUGUUAAGAACCGGUUCUUAGUUUUUUUAGUUAAAAGUUAAGAGACGGGUUCUUAUAUUCC
rnacentral:pre_miRNA from 1 species